GUGAGGCGGACGGCCGCAAUGAACUUGUUUUCAUUGAGGAAAGUCCGGACUCCGAAGGGCACCGUAGCAGGUAACGCCUGUCCGCCGCAAGGCGAGGAUUAGAGCAACAGAGACGAGCCGAUUCAGUUCGGGUGAAACGGGCAAUCUCUACGGGGAGUAACACCAAGUAAGCAGUCUUUGACCCGGCCCGGUGAGACUGCGGGUAGGUGGCUGGAGGCUCUGCGUGAGCAGAGUCCGAGAUGAAUGGUCGUCACUGCGGUUUUCGAAAGAAAGCCGCGGCACAGAAUCCGGCUUAUAGCUU
rnacentral:RNase_P_RNA from 1 species